rnacentral:lncRNA from 1 species
GGAUAACAGUAAAGAGAUUUUUACCAUGUGGGUAAAAUAUAUGAAAAGAAAUAUUUUUUCUUUUUAGAGAGCUUUUAUUAUGCCAGAAUUUUCCUCCAGGGAACAGACAAAGGAGAUCCUCGCAGUCUAUCUCAACAUAUAUUAGCUAGUUUGGUUCAUCUUUCAUUUAGAACUGGCUGUAGAAGCAAAUUGAAACCCUUCCAAACAGCCUAAAAUCUUUGAAGCCUCCCAAGACCUGAGCCUCCAUCUGCAACUAAUUUUGCAAAUGAUUCAUCUCUUGUCUUCAGAGAAGAUAUGGGUGCAAAUUAUAACUGUACUAAGCUACCUCAAACUUUUGAGAUCUUCAGCUGAAUGCAAAUUUUCAUCUGUUUUCUUUAAAAUUUUGGUUCAGCCUGUUUUAACACUUAACCCAUUGGAUGUUUAGAGCACUGGGCACUUUAUAGUUGUGGAAAUCAAGCGAGUCAUUUCUGUGCUUAUGAAAGACUUUGGGUGUCUCCCCUGAGAGCCAAGUCAAUUACAGUCAGAUCUUAUCAGAAGUUACAGCAUUUGCUAACACAGAGUGACAUGCCAAGUGUCAUGAGUCCCCCACUUGAGUUGCUUGCUUGCAGUGCAAAAGAGCAUUUCAACAGAUGCCUAAAUUACAGCAUGAAUUACAGCUCAGUCUAGCUGAGUAAUGCUCACCGUGCUCUCCAUGGGCUGGAUGGUAAAUCCUUACCUCAUGUUGGGAACAGCCGGACCAGCUGGACCUGAAGACAGACUCUUUCCUUUGAGAAGGAAAAAGCUCUUGCAGAUAUUAUCAGGCUGCGCUUCCUUCAAAGCCCACCAGCUUUCCCCUCCCACCUCCUUCAGGCUUGCUGUUCUCCACAGAGUGUGUUUAAAUUAGCUGGACCAUUGCAAGCUAAGAGACUGAUUAAUCUUCAGAUGUGCCACAAGAUAGAAGUCAACAGCCUAGCGGAGGGACUUGAGGUGGGAAAUGGUGUUACUGCUCCAAGUCCUCUGUUCUAUUUAGCAAAGCAGCAGUUGUGUCAUAGAGGUAAAGCCUGCCCUUUAAGUAUUUUCUCUUCAAGUAAGUGGCAGUGGGUAUUGUUGCACAGCACAUAAACCUCUUUUUGUCAGUUUGUAUUAACCACAGAAUUGACUUGUAAGGCAUUGGCACUCAGAGAGAGAUAUGAAUAAUGUCCUGUUUUUAACAAAGGGUACAUCAGUGCUGCAGCAUAGAGGGGAGAUAAUGUAGUUAGUUUCCUAGAAAACGACACAUUUUCAAAGUUUUCUGCUGUCACAGCUCAGUUUUGUAGAUGUGUAAGUUGAUGGUUUCUCUGCAACUGUAGGAAAUGAGAUGGCUCCCAGAGCAACGUCUGCUAGCUGCCCUGUUAGCUUGAACUUAGGCAGCAUUUUUACUUGGUGCUUGUCUCAUUAGUUUUAGGCUUGUGCCUUUGUUUUUCAUUGCAUAUGAGAAUACUUCAUGGUCACAGUGUGUUUCUACAGGUGUGGUGCUGAGGAAGGUAGGAGAUGGGGAUCAAUCUUCCUUAGCCCUAUUUAGACAAAGACCUUUAGAUUUAGCCCUAUUUAGACAAAGACUGAAAGUCAAGGAAGGGAAGGAUACUUCCCUCCAUUUCUGAUACUCUGAUACAAUUCUGAUACAGAGGAAUUAUGUGACUUUUUUUUUUUUCCAGUCAUCCAGGAACUUUAAGGCCAAACAUGGAGAUCAAUCUAGAUCUUUUGCAACCCUGACUAGGUCUGUAGUGUAAAACUGUCCUUUGUUUUUCAAUAUGUAUGAGCGGUAGUUAAUAUGUUUGCUAAAGAACAGUGCUAUAGCCCAGUUUUCUCUGCUCUGCUGCAGUCAAUAUGUACUGUACUACUGCCUCUAGAAGAAAUAGAGUGCA